GUUUUCGUGGCCUAGUGGUUAGGGCGUCUGUCUUACAGCCUGGAUCGGGACACAUCCGAAUCAGCGCAGAUCACAGAAGAUCCCCGGUUCAAUCCCGGGCGGAAACA